GAUGAACGCUGGCGGCGUGCCUAAUACAUGCAAGUCGAGCGAACGGACGAGAAGCUUGCUUCUCUGAUGUUAGCGGCGGACGGGUGAGUAACACGUGGAUAACCUACCUAUAAGACUGGGAUAACUUCGGGAAACCGGAGCUAAUACCGGAUAAUAUUUUGAACCGCAUGGUUCAAAAGUGAAAGACGGUCUUGCUGUCACUUAUAGAUGGAUCCGCGCUGCAUUAGCUAGUUGGUAAGGUAACGGCUUACCAAGGCAACGAUGCAUAGCCGACCUGAGAGGGUGAUCGGCCACACUGGAACUGAGACACGGUCCAGACUCCUACGGGAGGCAGCAGUAGGGAAUCUUCCGCAAUGGGCGAAAGCCUGACGGAGCAACGCCGCGUGAGUGAUGAAGGUCUUCGGAUCGUAAAACUCUGUUAUUAGGGAAGAACAUAUGUGUAAGUAACUGUGCACAUCUUGACGGUACCUAAUCAGAAAGCCACGGCUAACUACGUGCCAGCAGCCGCGGUAAUACGUAGGUGGCAAGCGUUAUCCGGAAUUAUUGGGCGUAAAGCGCGCGUAGGCGGUUUUUUAAGUCUGAUGUGAAAGCCCACGGCUCAACCGUGGAGGGUCAUUGGAAACUGGAAAACUUGAGUGCAGAAGAGGAAAGUGGAAUUCCAUGUGUAGCGGUGAAAUGCGCAGAGAUAUGGAGGAACACCAGUGGCGAAGGCGACUUUCUGGUCUGUAACUGACGCUGAUGUGCGAAAGCGUGGGGAUCAAACAGGAUUAGAUACCCUGGUAGUCCACGCCGUAAACGAUGAGUGCUAAGUGUUAGGGGGUUUCCGCCCCUUAGUGCUGCAGCUAACGCAUUAAGCACUCCGCCUGGGGAGUACGACCGCAAGGUUGAAACUCAAAGGAAUUGACGGGGACCCGCACAAGCGGUGGAGCAUGUGGUUUAAUUCGAAGCAACGCGAAGAACCUUACCAAAUCUUGACAUCCUUUGACAACUCUAGAGAUAGAGCCUUCCCCUUCGGGGGACAAAGUGACAGGUGGUGCAUGGUUGUCGUCAGCUCGUGUCGUGAGAUGUUGGGUUAAGUCCCGCAACGAGCGCAACCCUUAAGCUUAGUUGCCAUCAUUAAGUUGGGCACUCUAAGUUGACUGCCGGUGACAAACCGGAGGAAGGUGGGGAUGACGUCAAAUCAUCAUGCCCCUUAUGAUUUGGGCUACACACGUGCUACAAUGGACAAUACAAAGGGCAGCGAAACCGCGAGGUCAAGCAAAUCCCAUAAAGUUGUUCUCAGUUCGGAUUGUAGUCUGCAACUCGACUACAUGAAGCUGGAAUCGCUAGUAAUCGUAUAUCAGCAUGCUACGGUGAAUACGUUCCCGGGUCU
rnacentral:rRNA from 1 species